rnacentral:rRNA from 1 species
ACUCCGUACGGGAGGCAGCAGGUGGGGAAUAUUGGACAAUGGGACCAAAAGUCUGAUCCAGCAAUUCUGUGUGUUUGAUGAAGGCCUUCGGGUUGUAAAGAACUUUACAGUGGGAAGAAGCAGUGACGGUACCCACAGAAGAAGCGACGGCUAAAUACGUGCCAGCAGCCGCGGUAAUACGUAUGUCGCAAGCGUUAUCCGGAAUUAUUGGGUCAUAAAGGGCGUCUAGGCGGUCUAAUAAGUCUGAUGUGAAAAUGCGGGGCUCAACUCCGUAUUGCGUUGGAAACUGGUAGACUAGAGUUUUGGAGAGGUAGGCGGAACUUACAAGUGUAGAGGUGAAAUUCGUAGAGAUUUGUAGGAAUG